GAACGCUAGCUACAGGCUUAACACAUGCAAGUCGAGGGGCAUCAGGAAGAAAGCUUGCUUUCUUUGCUGGCGACCGGCGCACGGGUGAGUAACACGUAUCCAACCUGCCCUUUACUCGGGGAUAGCCUUUCGAAAGAAAGAUUAAUACCCGAUAGCAUAAUGAUUCCGCAUGGUUUCAUUAUUAAAGGAUUCCGGUAAAGGAUGGGGAUGCGUUCCAUUAGGUUGUUGGUGGGGUAACGGCCCACCAAGCCUUCGAUGGAUAGGGGUUCUGAGAGGAAGGUCCCCCACAUUGGAACUGAGACACGGUCCAAACUCCUACGGGAGGCAGCAGUGAGGAAUAUUGGUCAAUGGGCGCUAGCCUGAACCAGCCAAGUAGCGUGAAGGAUGAAGGCUCUAUGGGUCGUAAACUUCUUUUAUAUAAGAAUAAAGUGCAGUAUGUAUACUGUUUUGUAUGUAUUAUAUGAAUAAGGAUCGGCUAACUCCGUGCCAGCAGCCGCGGUAAUACGGAGGAUCCGAGCGUUAUCCGGAUUUAUUGGGUUUAAAGGGAGCGUAGGUGGACUGGUAAGUCAGUUGUGAAAGUUUGCGGCUCAACCGUAAAAUUGCAGUUGAUACUGUCAGUCUUGAGUACAGUAGAGGUGGGCGGAAUUCGUGGUGUAGCGGUGAAAUGCUUAGAUAUCACGAAGAACUCCGAUUGCGAAGGCAGCUCACUGGACUGCAACUGACACUGAUGCUCGAAAGUGUGGGUAUCAAACAGGAUUAGAUACCCUGGUAGUCCACACAGUAAACGAUGAAUACUCGCUGUUUGCGAUAUACAGUAAGCGGCCAAGCGAAAGCAUUAAGUAUUCCACCUGGGGAGUACGCCGGCAACGGUGAAACUCAAAGGAAUUGACGGGGGCCCGCACAAGCGGAGGAACAUGUGGUUUAAUUCGAUGAUACGCGAGGAACCUUACCCGGGCUUAAAUUGCAGUGGAAUGAUGUGGAAACAUGUCAGUGAGCAAUCACCGCUGUGAAGGUGCUGCAUGGUUGUCGUCAGCUCGUGCCGUGAGGUGUCGGCUUAAGUGCCAUAACGAGCGCAACCCUUAUCUUUAGUUACUAACAGGUCAUGCUGAGGACUCUAGAGAGACUGCCGUCGUAAGAUGUGAGGAAGGUGGGGAUGACGUCAAAUCAGCACGGCCCUUACGUCCGGGGCUACACACGUGUUACAAUGGGGGGUACAGAAGGCAGCUAGCGGGUGACCGUAUGCUAAUCCCAAAAGCCUCUCUCAGUUCGGAUCGAAGUCUGCAACCCGACUUCGUGAAGCUGGAUUCGCUAGUAAUCGCGCAUCAGCCACGGCGCGGUGAAUACGUUCCCGGGCCUUGUACACACCGCCCGUCAAGCCAUGGGAGCCGGGGGUACCUGAAGUACGUAACCGCAAGGAUCGUCCUAGGGUAAAACUA
rnacentral:rRNA from 1 species